rnacentral:misc_RNA from 1 species
AACGCACCUUGCGCCCUCUGGUAUUCCGGAGGGCAUGCCUGUUUGAGUGUCUUGAUAUCAUCAAACCCUCGGGUUCGCGCCCGCUGCGGUUUGGAGUUGGGGGCUUUUGCUGCCGUGAGGCGGCUCCCCUUAAAAUCAUCGGUUUGGCCCGUAUCUUGCGGCUAGCACCUUUGGCGUUGUAUUUCCCUCGCCUUCGAUCGGUCUUGCUCGCUUCCGCGCCUCACCCCGACUUGCCCUUUGGGUGGCGGUCACUUCUUGACAAUCUGGCCUCAAAUCAGGUAGGACUACCCGCUGAACUUAA